CAGCCUGGUAGCUGGAUAGUCCAGUACAGCAAUGUUUCCACAACAACAAAAACACAGCAGUAUCUGAACUCGCAUUGGGAGUUUCGUUCAAGUUGGAUGUAGUCCACUAGCUAAGUUAUACAC